rnacentral:rRNA from 1 species
UAAUACGUAGGUGGCGAGCGUUGUCCGGAUUUACUGGGUGUAAAGGGCGUGUAGGCGGGAUUGCAAGUCAGAUGUGAAAUUCCGAGGCUUAACCUCGGCGCUGCAUCUGAAACUGUGAUUCUUGAGUGCUGGAGAGGAUAGUGGAAUUCCUAGUGUAGCGGUGAAAUGCGUAGAUAUUAGGAGGAACACCAGUGGCGAAGGCGGCUAUCUGGACAGUAACUGACGCUGAGGCGCGAAAGCGUGGGGAGCAAACAGGAUUAGAUACCCUGGUAGUCCACGCCGUAAACGAUGGAUACUAGGUGUAGGAGGUAUCGACCCCUUCUGUGCCGCAGUUAACACAAUAAGUAUCCCACCUGGGGAGUACGGCCGCAAGGUUG